ensembl:snoRNA
AGCCUGUGAUGUUUUUAUUGUAAGAGUAGUGGACAGAAGCGAUUUCUGAGAACUCCGUGCUGAGGCU